rnacentral:sRNA from 1 species
UUCUAUUUGUUGCGGGCAGAUAAAAUGAAUAUGUGCGUCAAUGCCGCCAGCUGUUACAAUUUGGCCUUCUCCAGCGAUGAUUUCAGUGCCGGGGCCUAUUUCUAUGUUUACACCAUCUUGUAUGUCAGGGUUACCAGCCUUGCCUAUAGCGCAGAUGCGACCAGAAUUGAUACCAAUAUCUGCUUUUACGAUGCCCCAAUAAUCCAAUAUAGUCGCAUUGGUAAUGACUAAAUCAGGUGUGUCAUAACAAGAACCCUGACUUUGUCCCAUACCAUCCCUGAU